rnacentral:rRNA from 1 species
GUGGGGAAUAUUGGACAAUGGGCGAAAGCCUGAUCCAGCCAUGCCGCGUGUGUGAAGAAGGUCUUCGGAUUGUAAAGCACUUUAAGUUGGGAGGAAGGGCAGUAAGUUAAUACCUUGCUGUUUUGACGUUACCGACAGAAUAAGCACCGGCUAACUUCGUGCCAGCAGCCGCGGUAAUACGAAGGGUGCAAGCGUUAAUCGGAAUUACUGGGCGUAAAGCGCGCGUAGGUGGUUUUGUAAGUUGGAGGUGAAAUCCCCGGGCUCAACCUGGGAACUGCCUCCAAAACUGCAUGACUAGAGUACGGUAGAGGGUAGUGGAAUGUCCUGUGUAGCGGUGAAAUGCGUAGAUAUAGGAAGGAACACCAGUGGCGAAGGCGACUACCUGGACUGAUACUGACACUGAGGUGCGAAAGCGUGGGGAGCAAACAGGAUUAGAAACCCUUGUAGUCC